UGCUGCCAUAUCACGUUGAAACUCCGGUUCACAUCCAAUCAUCGAAGUUAAGCAACAUUGAACAUGGUCACUACCUAGAUGGGUGACCACUCGGGAAUACCAGGUGCUGUAAG